rnacentral:rRNA from 1 species
AAGGGAGCGUAGGCGGCUGAUUAAGUCAGCGGUGAAAGGUAGCAGCUUAACUGUUUUACAUGCCGUUGAUACUGGUUAGCUCGAGUUGACAGAAGGCAGAUAGAAUUCCUGGUGUAGCGGUGAAAUGCUUAGAUACCAGGAGGAAUACCGAUUGCGAAGGCAGUCUGCUGCAGUCACACUGACGCUGAGGCUCGAAGGUGCGGGGAUCAAACAGGAUUAGAUACCCCGGU